rnacentral:rRNA from 1 species
GUGCCAGCCGCCGCGGUAAUACGUAGGUGGCAAGCGUUAUCCGGAAUUAUUGGGCGUAAAGCGCGCGUAGGCGGUUUAAAAAGUCUGAUGUGAAAGCGGACGGCUCAACCGUGGAGGGUCAUUGGAAACUGGGAGACUUGAGUGCAGAGGAGGAAGGUGGAGUUCCAUGUGUAGCCCUGAAAUGCGUAGAGAUAUGGAGGAACACCAGUGGCGAAGGCGACUUUCUGGUCUGUAACUGACACUGAGGCGCGAAAGCGUGGGGAGCAAACAGGAUUAGAUACCCCUGUAGUCC